AUGAGGCACACAAGCAUCACGGCGGCGGUCGCCGUCGCAUUCGCCGUCCUUGCAGUCGCCGCCGCAGCGUCCACGGGCCUCACCGCCGCCGGCAGGGGGAAGCAGCAGCGUGCUCCAGGCCCGGCUUCCGGCAGCAGCGUGUACAUCGUGAUGGUGAAGCCCCCGGCCGUCGCCGCCGACAGCGCGGCCUACCACAUGGGCAUCCUCAUCGCCGCGGUCGGCAGCGAGGACAAGGCCAAGGCGGUGUUGAUCUACAGCUACAAGAACGCCAUCAGCGGGUUCGCGGCGAGGCUCACCCCCGCGCAGGUCGCCGUGCUCAGGAAAAACCCUGCCGUCAUCCGGGCGCAGCCUGAUGUCAAGUACUCCCUUCACGACGACGACAACAACAACAACCUCAACUAA
rnacentral:rRNA from 1 species